rnacentral:rRNA from 1 species
CUCCCAAACCCCUGUGAACAUACCUAUAUGUUGCCUCGGCGGAUCAGCCCGCGCCCUGUAAAACGGGACGGCCCGCCGCAGGAACCUAAACUCUGUUUUUAUUGGAACAUCUGAGUAAAAAAACAAAUAAAUCAAAACUUUCAACAACGGAUCUCUUGGUUCUGGCAUCGAUGAAGAACGCAGCAAAAUGCGAUAAGUAAUGUGAAUUGCAGAAUUCAGUGAAUCAUCGAAUCUUUGAACGCACAUUGCGCCCGCCAGUAUUCUGGCGGGCAUGCCUGUUCGAGCGUCAUUUCAACCCUCAAGCCCAGCUUGGUGUUGGGAGCUGUCUUAGUUGACACUCCCCAAAUUGAUUGGCGGUCACGUCGAGCUUCCAUAGCGUAGUAAUUUACACAUCGUUACUGGUAAUCGUCGCGGCCACGCCGUUAAACCCCAACUUCUGAAUGUUGACCUCGGAUCAGGUAGGA